ACACUUUCCUUGUUGGGGGGAUAACAUGAUCAUGGAGGUGGUUUGCCCAGGGCCAGGCUUAUCCAUUGCACUCUGGAUGUGCUGAUCCCUGUGAUUCCCCUAAAUUCAGGAAACUCAACUACAUAACUGUGGUAGUGGGGGACUGUGUGCGCUCUCUCCUG